rnacentral:rRNA from 1 species
AGAUUGAACGCUGGCGGCAUGCCUUACACAUGCAAGUCGAACGGCAGCACGGGAGCAAUCCUGGUGGCGAGUGGCGAACGGGUGAGUAAUACAUCGGAACGUGCCUAGUAGUGGGGGAUAGCCCGGCGAAAGCCGGAUUAAUACCGCAUACGACCUACGGGUGAAAGCGGGGGAUCGCAAGACCUCGCGCUAUUGGAGCGGCUGAUGUCAGAUUAGGUAGUUGGAGGUAAAAGCCUACCAAGCCGACGAUCUGUAGCUGGUCUGAGAGGACACCAGACCACACUGGGACUGAGACACCGGCCCAGACCUCCGUACGGGAGGCAGCAGGUGGGAAUUUUGGAC